rnacentral:rRNA from 2 species
UACAGAUGCAUCCCGCGGCGCAUUAGCUAGUUGGUGAGGGUAAUGGCUCACCAAGGCAACGAUGCGUAGCCGACCUGAGAGGGUGAUCGGCCACACUGGGACUGAGACACGGCCCAGACUCCUACGGGAGGCAGCAGUAGUGGAAUCUUCCGCAAUGGACGAAAGUCUGACGGAGCAACGCCGCGUGAGUGAUGAAGGUUUUCGGAUCGUAAAGCUCUGUUGUUAGGGAAGAACAAGUACCGUUCGAAUAGGGCGGUACCUUGACGGUACCUAACCAGAAAGCCACGGCUAACUACGUGCCAGCAGCCGCGGUAAUACGUAGGUGGCAAGCGUUGUCCGGAAUUAUUGGGCGUAAAGGGCUCGCAGGCGGUUUCUUAAGUCUGAUGUGAAAGCCCCCGGCUCAACCGGGGAGGGUCAUUGGAAACUGGGGAACUUGAGUGCAGAAGAGGAGAGUGGAAUUCCACGUGUAGCGGUGAAAUGCGUAGAGAUGUGGAGGAACACCAGUGGCGAAGGCGACUCUCUGGUCUGUAACUGACGCUGAGGAGCGAAAGCGUGGGGAGCGAACAGGAUUAGAUACCCUGGUAGUCCACGAAGUAAACGAUGAGUGAGUACAGUGCUUACGGGGGUUUCCGCCCCUUAGUGCUGCAGCUAACGCAUUAAGCACUCCGCCUGGAGACGCCCCCC